GAACGAGGAUAUAUCCUUCGGGAUAUAAGCCGAGUGGCACAAGGGUGAGCAAUGCAUAGAUUACCUACCUUUAGGAUAAGGGCAACUUUGUGAAAACGGAGCUAAUACUUAAUAAUACAAAAGAAAAUAAUUUUCUUUUGUCAAAGGGAGGGUAGCAAUACCUUUCGCCUAGAGAGGGGUUUAUGUCCUAUCAGCUUGUUGGUGGGGUAAUAGCCCACCAAGGCGAAGACGGGUAGCCGGUUUAAGAGGAUGGUCGGCCACACUGGGACUGAGACACUGCCCAGACUUCUACGGAAGGCUGCAGUCGAGAAUCUUUCGCAAUGCCCGAAAGGGUGACGAAGCGACGCCGCGUGGGUGACGAAGGCCUUCGGGUUGUAAAGCCCUGUCAGGAGUUAUGAAAUGUAAGUGCGCUAAUAUCGUGCUUAUUUGACAAAGGCUCCAAAGGAAGCCACGGCUAACUCUGUGCCAGCAGCCGCGGUAAUACAGAGGUGGCGAGCGUUGUUCGGAAUUAUUGGGCGUAAAGAGCACGUAGGUGGGUUUGCAAGUCAGAUGUGAAAGCCUUCUGUUCAACGGAAGAAUUGCAUCUGAAACUGCUAAUCUUGAGUAUAGGAGGGGAGAAUGGAACUUCUGGUGGAGCGGUGAAAUGCGUAGAUAUCAGAAGGAACGCCGGCGGCGAAAGCGAUUCUCUGGCCUAUUACUGACACUCAGUGUGCGAAAGCUAGGGGAGCAAACGGGAUUAGAUACCCCGGUAGUCCUAGCCGUAAACGAUGGGCACUAAGUAGAGGGAAUUACCUAUAUUCUCUCUGCCGUAGCUAACGCAUUAAGUGCCCCGCCUGGGGAGUACGGCCGCAAGGCUAAAACUCAAAAGAAUUGACGGGGGCUCGCACAAGCGGUGGAGCAUGUGGCUUAAUUCGAUGCAACGCGAAAAACCUUACCGGGGCUUGACAUGAUAGAAGUAGGAACCUGAAAGGGGGACGAACGGUAUCCAGUCCGUAGCUAUUACAGGUGUUGCAUGGCUGUCGUCAGCUCGUGUCGUGAGACGUUGGGUUAAGUCCCCUAACGAGCGAAACCCUUGUUUUUAGUUACCAGCGGGUUAUGCCGGGUACUCUAGAAAGACUGCCGUCGUCAAGACGGAGGAAGGUGGGGAUGACGUCAAGUCAUCAUGGCCCUUAUGCCCCGGGCUGCACACGUGCUACAAUGGUCGGUACAGACGGAAGCGAAGCCGAGAGGUGAAGCGAAUCCUAAAAAGCCGAUCUCAGUUCGGAUUGGAGGCUGAAAUUCGCCUCUAUGAAGUUGGAAUCGCUAGUAAUCGCGGAUCAGCAAUGUCGCGGUGAAUAUGUUCCCGAGCCUUGUACACACCGCCCGUCAAGCCACCCAAGCAGGAUGCACCCGAAAACAUUAUAUCUAACCAGGGCAACUUGGAGGAAAAUGUUGAAGGAGUGUUUUGUGA
rnacentral:rRNA from 1 species